rnacentral:rRNA from 1 species
AUGAACGCUGGCGGCGUGCUUAACACAUGCAAGUCGAACGGGGAUAAGACAUCGGAAGAGCUGCUUGCAGAAUGGAAGAAGUCAUAUUCUAGUGGCGGACGGGUGAGUAACGCGUGGGCAACCUGCCUUAUACAGGGGGAUAACAGCUGGAAACAGCUGCUAAUACCGCAUAAGCGCACAGCGGCGCAUGACGCAGUGUGAAAAACUGAGGUGGUAUAAGAUGGGCCCGCAUCUGAUUAGCUGGUUGGGAGGGUAACGGCCUACCAAGGCGACGAUCAGUAGCCGGCCUGAGAGGGCGGACGGCCACAUUGGGACUGAGACACGGCCCAGACUCCUACGGGAGGCAGCAGUGGGGAAUGUUGCACAAUGGGGGGAACCCUGAUGCAGCGACGCCGCGUGAGUGAAGAAGUAUUUCGGUACGUAAAGCUCUAUCAGCAGGGAAGAAAAAAGGACGGUACCUGAGUAAGAAGCCCCGGCUAACUACGUG